CAAAGAGUAGUUAAAUUAGAACGCUGGUUUUGGGGGCCAGUAGUGGGGGUUUAAAUCCCUCCUUUUUGA
rnacentral:tRNA from 1 species